rnacentral:lncRNA from 1 species
AUUAGGUAUGCAAAUAGAUUUGGGUUGGUGAAGCUUUCGUACCGAUUCGUUCGGAAUGGUGUAGUACGUAGAAACUAAAAAGAUUGAAAAAUAUAAAUUAUUCUUAAAUCCGCCAAAAAAAUAGAGCGAAAGACGAGGGACCCUUUUUUUUUCUCUUUUGAUCUGUUUAAUCUGUUCGAUUCAUUAAAGAUCUGUCAAAAUUAACCUCACUUAUAUCCUAAUCUGUCCAAAACGGAGUAAUAAGUAAAGAUAAAAAAAGAUAAAAAUUAAUCCUUUUCAAAUCUAUCCCGAACCAAUAAAAAAUGGAGUAGAAAUUAUCUGGCCCUUUGCAUCCCUACUUACAAUGCAUAUCCCUAGCUGGGAUGGAAAGAAUUGAAAGAAGAUUAAAAAAAAAAAAAAAAAUACAAAGCAGAAGAGAAAUAAUUUAAGAUAGCAAAAAUAGAAAAAAGCUAAAGAUAAAACUUAAAAGAAGAUAAUAAAUCUCAUUUUAUCUACUUCUAAAAAUGGAGAAACAUUGAAAAAGUAUUCGAAGUCGCAAGUUCGAAUUCUAAUUGAUUCAUAUUUUCAGCUAAGUUUAUUUCUGAAUGAAAUAAACGAAACAGAUAGCGUGUUAUCUAUUUUUUUU